rnacentral:lncRNA from 1 species
UUAAUCCCAAAUUCCCGAUUUAUUCCUCCCCCACUCCUUUUCCCUUUUGGUAAGUUUGUUUUCUAUGUCUGUGAGUCUGCAAAAUAAGUUCAUUUGUAUCAUAUUUUAGAUUCCACAUAUAAGUGAUCUAUAUGAUAUUUGUCUUUGUCUGACUUCACUUGGUGUGAUAAUCUCUAUGUCCAUCCAUGUUGUUGGAAAUGGCAUAUUAUAUUCUUUUUAAUGCCUAAUAUUACAUUAUGUUUUAUGGUUACUAUUACACACAUGCUACAUCUUCUUUACCCACUCCUCGGUCGAUGGACAUUUAGGUUGCUUCUAUGUCUUGGCUAUUGUAAAUACUGCUACUAUAAACACUGGAGUGAAUGUAUUUUUUCAAAUUAUAGUUUUCUCUGGAUAUAUGACCAGAAAUGGCAUUUGUAAUAUUAAUUCUUUUUUUUUUUUUUUAAUUAAAGUGUGGUUGAUUUGUGGGGAGUUCUGAUUGUGGUGCAGUGCAAACGAAUCUGAUUAGUAUCCAUGAGGACGCAGGUUCAAUCCCUGGCCUUGCUCCGUGGGUUAGGGAUCCAGCGUUACCGUGAGCUUCAGUGUGGGUCCCAGACGUGCCUCGGAUCUGGCGCUGCUGUGGCUGUGGUGUAGGCCGACAACUGUAGUUCUGAUUCGAUCCCUAGCCUGGGAACUUCCAUGUGUCUGGGGUAUAGCCCCCCCCCCCAAAAAAAGGAGAUUUACAAUGUUUCUUCAAUUUCUGUUGUACAGCAAAGUUUCCCAAUCACAUACAGUUCCCAGUGCUGUACAGCAGGACCCCAUUGCCCAUCCAUUCCAAAUGCUACAGUUUGUAUCCACCAACCCCAAACUCCCCAUCCAUCCCACUCCUUCCCCCACUCCCCACCUCCCCCAGCAACCACAAGUCUGCUCUCCAUGUCAGUGAUCUGUUUCUGUUUUGUAGAUGGGAUCAUCUGUGCUAUAUUUUAGAUUCCACAUAUAAGUGAUAUCAUAUGGUAUUUGUCUUUCUCUUUCUGACUUACUUCACUUAGUAUAAGAAUUUCUAUUUCCAUCAUGUUGCCAUAAAUGACAUUAUGUUGUUCUUUUUAUGGCUGAGUAGUAUUCCAUUGUAUGUACGUACCACAAUUUCUUAAUCCAUUCAUCUGUUGAUGGACAUUUAGGUUUUUCCAUGUCUUGGCUAUUGUGAAUAGUGCUUCGAUGAACAUGUGUACAUGUAUCUUUUCAAAUGAAUGUUUUGUCUGGAUAUAUGCUCAGGAGUGGGAUUACUGGAUCAUAUGGUAGUUCUAUAGUUAGUUUUCCAAGGUACCUCCAUACUGUUUUCCAUAGUGGUCAUACCAGUUUACAUUCCCACCAACAGUGAAGGAGGUACCCUUUUCUCUACUCCCUCUCCAGCCUUUGUUAUUUGCUGACUUGUUGAUGGCUAUUCCAACUGCUGUGAGGUGGUACCUCAUAGUGGUUUUGGUUUGCAUUUCUCUAAUAAUUAGUGAUGUUGAGCAUUUUUUCAUAUGCUUGUUGGCCAUUCAUAUGUAUUCUUUGGAGAAAUGUCUACUUAGGUCUUCUGCCCAUUUUUCAAUUGGGUUGUUUGUUUUUUAUUGUUGUUGACUUGUAUGAAUUAUUUAUAUAUUUUGGAGAUUAGGCCUUUGUCUGUUGCAUAGUUUGCAAAGAUUUUCUCAUAUUCUUUGGGUUGUCUUUUCAUUUUUUAAAUAGUUUCCUUUUCUAUGCAAAAGCUUUUGACUUUAAUUAGGUCCCAUGGGUUUAUUUAUUUAUUUUUUUAAUUGUCAUUAUUCUAGGAGGUGGAUCAAACAAGAUGUUGCUGUGAUUUAAGUCGAAGAGCAUUCUGCCUAUGUUUUCCUCUAGGAGUUUUAUAUUUAGGUCUUUAACCAAUUUUGAAUUUAUUUUUGUAUGGUGUUAGAGUGUUUUAAUUUCAUUAUUUUAUAUCUAGCUUUCCAGUUUUCCCAGCACCAGUUAUUGAAAACACUAUCUUUCUUCCACUGUAUGUUCUUGCCUCCUUUGUCAUAGAUUAGUUGACCAUAGGUACUAGGGUUUAAUUUUGAGCUUUCUAUUCUGUUCCAUUGAUCUGUUUCUAUUUUUGUGCCACACCAUAUUAUUUUAAUGACUGAGUUUUGUAAUAUUGUCUGAAGUCAGGGAGCCUGAUUCCUCCAUUUCUGCGUUUCUUUUUCAAUAUUGUUUUAGCUAUUCAGGGUCUUUUGUGUUUCCAUACAAAUUUUAAAAUAUUCUGAUCUAGUUCUGAAAAGAAUGGCUUUGGUAGUUUGAUAGGAAUUGCACUGAAUCUGUAGAUUGCCUUGGGUAGUGUAAUCAUUUUGACGGAAUUGAUUCUUCUAGUCCAAGAGUAUGGCAUAUCGUUCCAUCUCUUUGUGUCAUCUUUGAUUUCUUUCAUCAGCAUCUUAUAGUUUUCAGAGUAUAGGUCUUUUAUCUCUUUAGGUAGGUUUACUUCUAGGUAUUUUAUUCCUUUUGUUAUGAUGGUUAAGUGGGGUGGUGUCUCUGAUUUCUCUUUCUGAUCUUUCAUUGUUAUUAUAUAGAAAUGCAAUCUAUUUCUGUGAAUUAAUUGUGUACCCUGCAAAUUUGCCAAAUUCAUUGAUGAGCUCUAACAGUUUUCUGGUAGUGUCUUUUAGAGUUUUCCAAAUAUAGCAUCACGUCAUCUGCAAACAGUGAUAGUUUUACUUCUUUUCCAAUUUGAAUUCCUUUUAUUUCCUUUUCUUGUCUGAUUGUCAUUGCUAGAACUUCCAAAACUAUGUUGAAUAGGAGUGGUGAAAGUGGAGUAAUGUUAAUUAUUAUGUAAAGGUGACUCUUAAGAGGAGGCAGUGUUUAGAUUUUUUGGACUGGAAAAACUGGCAGCAAUUUGAAAAGAACAUAUAGUAGUUUGGCAUUAUAUGGAGAUGAGGGGCAGAAGCAUGACUGAGCAUAAGCAUAAAAUUAGAAGUGGCUGCAUUGAAAUAGACAACUCUGGUAUGUUAUAUAUCCUUAAAUUUUACUGACUUAUUGUUGUAUGCCAAGUAUACAUACAUAAGCUCACUAAUCCUCAUGAAAAUCUUUUGAAAUAGGUUAUCUUGCAGAUUUCAAACAAACAUCCCUGAAACUCAGAGAAAUUAGAUCACCCAACAUCAUGUCUUUGGUAAAUGGAAGAAUCCGUACUCUCAACCACAGCCCUCUAGAUGAUUCAAAUUACCCAUUGUGUAUUUCCUAAGGGAAUCGUUUGCAUUCUUAAAUAGUAUGUACUCUAUUUUAAAAAUAUUUAAUUGAACAAAAUAAUCUUCUCUCUCAUUUAAACAUAAAAAUGUAAGGGAAAGUGAGAAUUGUAGGUUUUUAAAAUAUGUGAACAAUGUACACUAAAGCCAACUAAAUAGCAAAGAUGACAUUACACAUAUUUUCUUAGGAAUAAGAUCUUUCUGAGAGAUCAUAAAUAUUUAAGCCUAAACAUUCCAUAGAGUGGCAACAAGGACAAUUCUUGACUUAAUGUGGAAUUUUCUCAACCUUGAGAUAGGUAACUACACAAUCGGAAUUUCUCAUUAAUUGACCAAUAUUCUCUCUGCUUCGGAAAGUGCAGAUCUUCAAGCUUGAUCUUCACCCUCAAGAUAUUCGACUUCCAAGACCUUGAGAAAACCUUGUGAAAGUUAUAGAUAAAAAGAAAUGGGCUACAAUCAUAGAUUUUUAUGUUCUUGCUUAAUUCAAUUUGAUUAUCUUAAUCUAAUCCUCGUCCUCAUUUUUCGUAAUCGCUCUAACUUUACUGUUUCAUUGCGUUCAUUCAUCAGAGUUCUUCCUCAAAUAUCCAUUCUUCCUUUUUCAAAAAGAGAAGUCUUGAGUCUUAUCUGAACACGUGGCUUUCAAGAAUAAAGUUUGGGAGUUCCUGUUGUGGCACAGCAGAAACGAAUCCGACUAGUAUCCAUGAGGAUGUGGGUUCAAUCCCCAGCCUCACUCAGUGGGUUGAGGAUCCAGCGGGGCCUUGAGCUGUGGUGUAGGUUGCAAAUGCAGCUUGGAUCCCACAUUGCUGUGGCUGUAGUGUAGACUGGUAGCUACAGCUCUGAUUUGACUCCAUAUGCCACAGGUUCGGCC